UGGGAUAGUGAUGACCAGUGGUGGCAUAUGUUGUGAAUAAGAACUGUAGGACUGGGGGUCUGAGGUCCAC